UACGAAGGGGGCUAGCGUUGUUCGGAAUCACUGGGCGUAAGGCGCACGUAGGCGGAUCUUUAAGUCAGGGGUGAAAUCCCGAGGCUCAACCUCGGAACUGCCUUUGAUACUGGGGAUCUCGAGUCCGGGAGAGGUGAGUGGAACUGCGAGUGUAGAGGUGAAAUUCGUAGAUAUUCGCAAGAACACCAGUGGCGAAGGCGGCUCACUGGCCCGGAACUGACGCUGAGGUGCGAAAGCGUGGGGAGCAAACAGG
rnacentral:rRNA from 1 species